GUCUGUUGCAAUAGGUGAAUCAGACUGGGAAGGGGUCCAUGGCAGAUCAAUAUUCAGCAACCAACUCUAUCUUACUUUCAGUUGAGCCACUGAACCACUCGGAGGCAACCAAAUGCCUCUCAGUCAUCUCAAACAGGCCUAAGAUCCAAAGCUAAUCACAGAUUGCCAUUUGUGAAGAAUUUGCUGCAGAGCUCAAAGAAUGUGGCCAGUUCUGUUCUUGCUCGCUGCCCUUGCAGGCCCUUUGAUAGCUGAUGACACUCUCUAUAUCUCGCCCAUAUCUCUGAGUCGCUGGGAAAAUGAAACGGUGACGUUGAAUUGUUUCACCUCCAGGACCAUGGAUAAUUAUUACCUCAUCUGGGGAUCCGCCAAGCCGGGAGAUCUCAUGAUCUCGUGGAUUCUUUACUGGAUGCCGGGAUCGAGUGCUGCUCUUUACCCAUCCGUGGUAAGCGAUCGUUUUAUUGGCUCAAAGGACUGGACCAGCAAGAAGUUCUCACUGACAAUAAAAGGUCUCCGACAAGAAGAUUCAGCCAGAUAUUACUGUGGCAGCUCUAACACUUACUUCCCAUUCAGCACAGACUGGAGUGGAUGUGGAGUCACACUCACUGUUAAAGCAGCUCCUUCAGCAUCUCCUCCGUUGGUUUAUUUCCAAAACCCACACCCUGAGGAUGUCUUUCUCCAGAAGAACAUCUCACUGCUCUGCGCAGCAGAAAGCUUCUACCCGGACGACCUCUCAUUUACCUGGCGUGUUGAUGGUGAGCAGGUCUACAGAGGGGUCUCGCAUUCUGCCUCACUUUUGGGAGACAAUGGCACCUACACAGCGAUCAGUAAGCUGGUGAUCGAUACAUCCCAGUGGAUCAAAGGAUCUAUUAUCAGCUGCCAAGUAUCACAUGGGGCACUGCCUUCACCCAUCAUCAAACACAUAAGUAACACUGAGCGGUACCCCAUGGAGCCAAAGCUGUAUCUCCUGUCACCGACUUUAGAAGAGCUCGUGACAAUGGAAAAAGCAACCCUGGUCUGCCUAGCAACUGGCUUCUACCCAGCAGAGAUCUCUUUCCAUUGGUUCAUCAAUGGCAAUCCAGUGGUCGACAACAUCAAGACCUACCCACCAAUUCUCAAUAUCAAUGGCACCUACUCUUCCCAGAGUGAACUGACCACGUCCGAUCAAAUGUGGAACCGGGGUACAAAAUAUACGUGUGAGAGUCAACACAUGUCAGUCCCAGACAGCAUCAUUCAAACCAUCAAUAAAACCCGGGAAUUUAUUUUCCUCCAACCGACGAUAACCCCCAUCAAGGUUCAGUCACGUGACUCCCGUCGGCCACAAGCUGUGACGUUGGCAUGUUUUGUUUCGGGGUUCUAUCCCGCCGGGAUCUAUGUGAACUGGAGAACAGAGAGGGAUUUGCAAGUUCCGGGCAGCGUGACCAACUUCCCAGUGGUGAGGGACGUGAGUGGGACCUACAGUACAGUCAGUCAGAUGACCAUUGCCUUUGUGGAUGUGGACCCCGGUCAGACGUAUUUAUGUGAGGUCAGGCACGAGUCUCUCACCAACCCUUUAAUGGAACGGUUUCAGAUAAGUUGACAUUCCUACCAAGGACUGAUCCAAUCAUCUGAAAUCUUCAUAUGUCUUCACCAGUGAAACACUGGAGUGACAUUCCCAGUCGGAAACAGACGGAGCUAUUCCAUUCUUCUCCACUCAUGGUGAUUUGAAACUAUUAAUAAUAAAAGAAUAUUUUCCCCUUAACUGAAUGUUAAACAAACUGAUCUCUGAGGGUUGUGAAUUCAUCUUAGAGAUGUUGCAAGCAUUAAAUAAAAAAAAUUCCUUGGCUUAA